UAGGGAAUCUUCGGCAAUGGACGAAAGUCUGACCGAGCAACGCCGCGUGAGUGAAGAAGGUUUUCGGAUCGUAAAACUCUGUUGUUAGAGAAGAACAAGGACGUUAGUAACUGAACGUCCCCUGACGGUAUCUAACCAGAAAGCCACGGCUAACUACGUGCCAGCAGCCGCGGUAAUACGUAGGUGGCAAGCGUUGUCCGGAUUUAUUGGGCGUAAAGCGAGCGCAGGCGGUUUCUUAAGUCUGAUGUGAAAGCCCCCGGAUCAACCGGGGAGGGUCAUUGGAAACUGGGAGACUUGAGUGCAGAAGAGGAGAGUGGAAUUCCAUGUGUAGCGGUGAAAUGCGUAGGUAUAUGGAGGAACACCAGUGGCGAAGGCGGCUCUCUGGUCUGUAACUGACGAUGAGGCUCGAAAGCGUGGGGAGCAAACAGG
rnacentral:rRNA from 1 species